UUUUGCCUAUGAUGACUUGCAUGUUGCCUACAUUGUCCGACUAAUAUCUCUAUGAUGAUAGUUGCAAGAUCUGAGGCUUGU
rnacentral:snoRNA from 1 species